rnacentral:rRNA from 1 species
AGAAUCAACGCUGGCGGCGUGCCUAACACAUGCAAGUCGAACGAGAAAGGGGUAGCAAUACCCUGAGUAAAGUGGCGCACGGGUGAGUAACACGUGACUAACCUACCCUUGAGUGGGGGAUAACUGAGGGAAACCUUAGCUAAUACCGCAUAAUACCCACGGGUCAAAGGAGCAAUUCGCUCGAGGAGGGGCCGCGGCCGAUUAGUUAGUUGGCGGGGUAAUGGCCCACCAAGACGAUGAUCGGUAU